GAAUGGUGGCAUGAUCUUGCACAGUCACCUCUGCAAUGCCCUCUCUCUCCACAAGGCCAGCACACGCCCAUUAACUGCAGCUCUGUUAGCUGCUGGUUGUAGCAACUCGAGCUGGUAAAGCCGAUUGUUUAGGGGUUUUUUUUUCAUACCGAGAGUACUCGGUGACAUCGAAAAAGGGAGAUAUAUGUUAAAAGGGAAUUUAACAUAUCCCUUUAAAAGCGCCGGAUUUCUCUGUUAAGAAAACCCAUGUGAAAACUUUUGGCAACACUGAUAGCAAUGUGACUAUCUCAGUGUUCUUGCAAAGGCUCAUGGGAACACAAUGAAAUGGUGACUCCAAGGCAUCCUAUUGGUUCAUUUGCCACACUGGUUCAGUAUGUAGGUGCUUCACAUUGAUCUAACAAAAUUUUGUUGGAUAAAAUCAUUACUGUGGCAAUAUAUGUCAGUUCAACAUAACAAUGUGUUAAAAAAAAAAAUAUUUGAUUUCAUGUUUUGUGGUUUAGUAACUGUGACAAACCCUUUUUUUCACUGUAGGCUUACCUUACAUAAUUCAAUUACAUACAUUGACUGCUCAAUUGGAAUUACUAUUUGAACACAAUAAGGUUGUGUUUCAUUACACAACUUUAUACAACACAAAACACACACACACACACACACACACACACACACACACACACACACACAUGGCAGGAAGUGUGUUUGCAUAGAGAUAUUUGCAUUGGCUGCACAUGCUUCAGUGGUCAAAGGGUGUUUAUAUCCCUCUGAGUUUAACCCCUCAUGAUUGACAGCUGUCCGUCAUGAAGACUCAACCCUCAGCCAUGGCCUUCAUCUCCAUACUCACCUGGACUCUUGUGCUCGUCACUAAAGAAGCCUAUGGACAAGUGACGGUAACUCAGACUCCAGUUGUGAAAAUGGCUCGACCAGGAGAAACUGUCACUCUCAGCUGUAAAACUAACCCUCAAUUAACUGGCGGCAGUCUGUCCUGGUACCUGCAGACGCCUGGAGAAGCUCCUAAACUCCUCAUACGUUCUAUUAGCACCCAUGUCUCAGGUACGCCUGACAGAUUCAGUGGAGGUGGGACGUCAAAAGGGUCUGACUUCACUCUGACCAUCAGUGGAGUCCAGGCUGAAGAUGCCGGAGAUUACUACUGUCAGAGUUUCCAUAGUUUCUCUCCGUAUGUGUUCACACCGUGUUAG